GGGAUUGAGAAACGGAAAUACCACCACCCUCGGGCCAAACUUGUGAGGACUGAUUGCAGGGGAACUGGUGCUCCAGAUGUUGCACUAGAGGCGCUGCAAGUGUGAGCAGGUGGCAGUAGACCUGCAUCGAAGGUUGUAGCAGAUGUUCUCAACAUUUCUCUUGAAAUUUCCUUAUCUCCAUUUGCAAGAGGAGCCCCAGAGCCUCAUCCCUGUGGUAGCUGCCAUGUUCUGGUAUAAGCUGUUAUUCACCAGGGAGCUUUGGCAAGAGAAUGGCUGUAUCAGGAAGUCCAUCUCCACCAUGGAAAAACAACUUGAAACUUGUCUUUAUUGACGAGUAUAAACAAAUCCCAAGGUCAGAGACUGGUAGGACUGAUGCUCACGGAAGUCAAAGAAACGCCUCACUCUAGGGAGAGGAUCCUUAUAUGACAGGCUUGCAGUAUUCCUAUAGUAAGAUUGGACUCUUCUUCCCAUGCUCUGUGUACUGUCUGUAGGAUGGAGAUAGACUGAAUACCUGCUUCGCUGAAUACUGGCUUCAGAUCACCUUUCACAUUUUCUUGUUGGAAAGGCAACUGUUGGAGAAUCAUCUUGUUACCGUCAGCAAAAAUGGAAACAAAUCAAGACAUUAAGAAUGCCACGGUGAAGGACUUCCCUGGUGGCCCAGUGGU